rnacentral:rRNA from 1 species
GACGAACGCUGGCGGCGUGCUUAACACAUGCAAGUCGAACGAAGAGCGAUGGAAGCUUGCUUCUAUCAAUCUUAGUGGCGAACGGGUGAGUAACGCGUAAUCAACCUGCCCUUCAGAGGGGGACAACAGUUGGAAACGACUGCUAAUACCGCAUACGAUCUAAUCUCGGCAUCGAGGAUAGAUGAAAGGUGGCCUCUACAUGUAAGCUAUCACUGAAGGAGGGGAUUGCGUCUGAUUAGCUAGUUGGAGGGGUAACGGCCCACCAAGGCGAUGAUCAGUAGCCGGUCUGCGAGGAUGAACGGCCACAUUGGGACUGAGACACGGCCCAGCCUCCUACGGGAGGCAGCAGUGGGGAAUCUUCCGCAAUGGACGAAAGUCUGACGGAGCAACGCCGCGUGAGUGAUGACGGCCUUCGGGUUGUAAAGCUCUGUUAAUCGGGACGAAAGGCCUUCUUGCGAAUAGGGAGAAGGAUUGACGGUACCGGAAUAGAAAGCCACGGCUAACUACGUG